UCCGAGUUGACCCCGGCAGUCUCCUACGAGUCCCCGGCAUAACCCGCUGGCAACAUGGGAUAAGGGUUGCGCUCGUUGCGGGACUUAACCCAACAUCUCACGACACGAGCUGACGACAGCCAUGCACCACCUGUGCAGGACCCUUGCGGACCCGACAUCUCUGCCGGAUUUCCCUGCAUGUCAAACCCUGGUAAGGUUCUUCGCGUUGCGUCGAAUUAAGCCACAUGCUCCGCCGCUUGUGCGGGCUCCCGUCAAUUCCUUUGAGUUUUAGCCUUGCGGCCGUACUCCCCAGGCGGGGCACUUAAUGCGUUAGCUACGGCGCGGAAAACGUGGAAUGUCCCCCACACCUAGUGCCCAACGUUUACGGCAUGGACUAC
rnacentral:misc_RNA from 1 species